UUUAAUAAUUAGGAGUCGAUAGUUAGAGUGACUCUUUUAUCAAGAACAACCAAACACAGACGAAUAGUGAAUGAAGAUGAAUUGAUAAAAGCAAUGAAAACAGUUGGAUAUUUCCGGCUACGAGUGGUCGACUACAAAUACAGGGAUUUCCCCUUUCUUGAACAGAUUGAGUCUUCACACAACACUGAUAUAUUUAUUGGGAUGCAUGGCUCUGGUCUAACUCACUUACUUUUCCUCCCGGACUGGGGAGCUAU